AGGUAGCACAAUCACUUGUCCCUUAAAUGAGGACCCGUAUGAAAGGCAACAUGAGAGAAGACCUGUCUCCCAAGACUAGCCAAUGAAAUUGAACUAUCAGUUCAAAAGCUGAUAUUUACAAGCAAGACAAAAAGACCCUGUGGAACUUUAACAAACUGUUUACACAAAACUAAACAAUAGUUUCAGUUGGGACAACUUUAGAAAAAUUUAACCUCUAAACACUAACCGACCAACAAGUCCAAAUUAAUCAAAGACCCAAUUUUACUGAUUAACGAAACAAGCUACCCCAGGGAUAACAGCGCCACCUUCUCAAAGAGUCCAUAUCAACAAGAAGAUCUACGACCUCGAUGUUGGAUCAGGGUACCCAGACGGUGCAGCAGCUGUCAAAGGUUCGUUUGUUCAACGACUAACACCC
rnacentral:rRNA from 1 species